rnacentral:rRNA from 1 species
UACGGGGGGGAGCAAGCGUUGUUCGGAUUUACUGGGCGUAAAGGGCGCGUAGGCGGCUGUAACAAGUCACUUGUGAAAUCUCCGGGCUUAACUCGGAACGGUCAAGUGAUACUGUCGGACUAGAGUACAGAAGGGGCAACUGGAAUUCUCGGUGUAGCGGUGAAAUGCGUAGAUAUCGAGAGGAACACCUGCGGCGAAGGCGGGUUGCUGGGCUGAUACUGACGCUGAGGCGCGAAAGCCAGGGGAGCGAACGGG